rnacentral:lncRNA from 1 species
GCCAGGGAGCGAGAGCAGAGACUCUGUAUACAUGACCACUUGGGAUCCACGUGGAUCGUUGCAGAAAGAGCAAUGCCCUAACAACUGUCCUAUACCAUUAUACUUCGCCAAUCCAGUACCACCAAUUGUUCCAAUAAUAUCACCAUUUUUUGUAGAGUAUAUAGGAGAAAAGUAAGGAAUGGCUACAAUAGGAAUAACAACAUUCAUUGUCCAAGACGAAUGCACUUUGUAUUCUUUCAUCACCCAUAUUUCAACUAUACCAUCCAUCAUAGCCCAUAAACUGAGAAAUUCUCCAGAUACACCCACAAACCAAUAUCUGCAAGACAAUGACCAAUACCAUCUGGAAGAGGUAUCUUUAACAGUUUCCUUUCCAUUAAAUCAAAGGCAACAAUAACAUUCACCAAUAAAUCACAAUGAUAAGUUAACCAAUGAAUAUCACCAUUAAAGAGCAACCCUACUUUGGGAUAAUUAUAGGCACCCCUAUAAGGGAAGCGAGUAUCCUCAAUUUCUCUCCAUGUAUUAUCUCUCAACGAGAAAAUCUCCAAAUGUGUUGAAAUAUCAGCAGAUAAGGCUGUAUCAUAGGACAAUGAAACCACCAAGUAAUCAUCUCUUGACUGAUCAUACCCAAAACCAUAUAAAUAACGGAAACAAUAUGCACAACCAAAAUUGGAAUCAAUAGGAGACAACGGUAUUUGCUUGUGAAAUCCAGUGGAUGGAUUCCAAAGGUAGUUGUUUGAAGAACAGUGCAAAAAUAUAAACCCUCUAUACAUGAACCUUUCAUUUGAAGAGGAAAAUGAGAUUGAGGAAGUGAUAAAUUAGAGUUCAGUAAAACACAAUCAUCGUUAAGCAAGGCUUCGAAAUCCAUAGAUCGAAUUUGAGGAGGUACAACUGAAAUGGACACAAUUCUACUAGUGUGUGUUGGGGCAAGUUGAAAAUGUGAAUUUGCAAAAUUGGGAUCAGAGAUGAGAGUAAACCAUGACUUACAGACGGACUUGAAAUGUAUAAGAUAUUUCACUGGCAACCUCAGAAGGAUUUGAAUAAUCAAUUCAAGAGGUAGAUACAGCGCUGUCUUCUUCUCCAUGUGUCUUCCUACUCUACCACCUUCUUCACGCUGCUGCGAGUAAACCUAAUUUUACAAGGGAUUCAAAUUUAUGAGAGAGAUAAAAGUAAAUGUAUUCAAAGAAUUAAAGAAAAUAGGUUAAUAGAGGCUAUUUUAGUAUUUUUAAUCUGACUUUUAUAUUUUACUUCCAAAAUUGGAUGGAUUGUAAUUAAUAUUGUUAGUUUUUGCUUUGGGUGGGAAUCGAAUACCUAACCUCCUCAUCGCUCCACUCCACUCCCUAUCUCAUAAUCACAAAUUCAAUAGUGCUAAUUAAUAACAUAUUUCAAGAAAUAUCUACAUAAUCAUGUGGGUUAAAUGCAUCUGUAAAAAAAAGUUCUACGAAAAACCCAUAAACUUUUGCAUAAAACAAACACUUCUUCUAAUGUGAACAAGUUAGAAGAAUCUUGCACCAUGCAUAAAGUUAGUUAACAGUUGUAGGAUUUAAUGACUUCUAAUUCAAGGGCUAGGAUUCAGUGUUGCAGAGAAAUUCUAAAUAGACUCAUAUUUAGACACCAAAUUAAAACCAUAUCAUUAAAAUUAAAGUCAGAAGAUGCAAAUUCUUCUUUCUUAUUCUGAUAUUCUUAUCUAGUAACAGUCCUUCAUCCCCGUAAGAGGAUGCCUAUUUCUUCCCAGCUCACGAGUCCCAACUCCUACCUCUGCAGUGUCUAACACACUACACAGUGCUAUCACAAAUUGCGAUAUGAACCUUGUCAGAGUUUAUAUAAAUAAAUUGAUCAGUUAAUGGUGGUGUGAGAAGGUUGUUAGUAUUCUAGUGUAAGCUGCAAGAUUGUAAUAGAUUAUUUUGAAUGUGCAGUGGUUGUGCUCAGGUGAGUGCACAGCACAUUCAUAAUCAUCAGGAUAUCAAGUCAGAGAAAGUGACAAAAGAAAAGGAUGUAACAAGUAUACACUAUACACUCAACUAUGGAAGUUUAUAACCCACUUGGGUUGGUGCAUUGGUAUUGGCUUGGGACCUGGGAGUGUGCUCCUCUUGAGGUCUGAGGUUCGAUUCUCUCUGGUGCCAAUUUGGGUGGGCUAAUUUAGCUUCUUCAAAAAAAAAAAAAAACUAUGGAAGUUUAUGCUUUAAAAGAAUGAUUCCUCUAGUAGUAUUUCUUACUGAGAUACGACUCUGCAAACUUAAGUAGAGAAAAGGACAUCAGGACAUGAAACAAAACCUUAUUUAUCCUUCAAUACACAUAAAAUCAACAAAGUAAUUUACCAUAUAAAACAAUUUCAAGCAAUGACAACAACACACUUUUAGAAUUCAAUCCAGUUACACAUAUAAUAUAAAUAACAGAGAAUCACAUAAACAAAGCUGUCGAUAUUUCCAAUAAGCAUAUUACAAAUAGUUAACCGAUAAACAUAUCAUGACAGAUUAGAUAAGCUCAUGUGGCAUACUAGCUCAAGUUACAAAUACAUUCAAACACAUAUUCCCCUAAAAAUACAGCCACCCAAGAGUACAUAAUACAAUGUAAUUAUAAAUAUNNNGAGUAGAGACUCUGUAUACAUGACAACUUGGGAUCCACGUGGAUCGUCACAGUAGGUGCGAUACUCUAGGAGAUGUCCUUUAUUGUUAUACUUCACCAAUCCAGAACCAUCAUCUGUACCAAUAACAUCAUCACUUUUUGUAGAGUAUAUAGGGAAAAAACACUUUGUGGGAAGGGUGUCAAUGGAAAGAACAAUAUUCUUAAUCCAAGACGAAUGCACUUUGUAUUCUUUCAUCACCCAUAUUUCAACUAUACGAUUCCUCAUAGCCCAUAGACUGAGAAAUUCUCCAAAUACCCACGAACCAAUAUCUAGGAGAUAAUCGCCGAAAUCAGAUGGAAUAGGUAUCUCAAACAGUUUCCUUUCCAUUAAAUUAAAGCUAACAAUAACAUCCACCAAUGAACUACUACGAGAUACAAACCAAUGAAGAGCCUCAUUAAAGAGCAACCCUAAUUUGGGAUAAUGAUAGGGACUCCAAUAAGGAAAAGGGGUAUCCUCAAUUUCUUUCCAUGCAUUAUCUCGCAACGAGAAAAUCUCCAAAUGUGAUGAAACAUCAGCAGCUAAUGCUGGAUACAAUGAAGCCAGCAAGUAAUCAUCUCUAGAAUGAUCAUACCCAAAACCAUAUAAAUAACUAUAUGUACCAAAAUUUGAACCAAUAGUAGGAGACAAAGGUAAACUUUUGCAAAAUCCAGUGGAUGGAUUCCAAAUGUAGUUGUUUGAAGAACAAUUAAAGAAUAUAAAGCCUCUACAUGAACCUUUAAUAUGAAGAGGAAAAUAAGAUUGAGGAAGUGAUAAAUUAGGGUUGAGUGAAUUAGAAUGAUUGUUAAACAAUACUUCGAAAUCUAUGGAUCGAAUUUGAGUAGGUAUAGCUGAAAUGGAGAGAAUUCUUAGAGUUUGUGUUGAUUCAGAAAAUUGAAAAUGUGAAUUACCAAAAUUGGGAUUGGAGAUGAGAGUAAACCAUGUCUUACAAACAGACUUGAAACAAAUAAGAGAUUUCACUGGUAACCUCAGAAGGAUUUGAAUGAUCAAUUCAAUAGGCAGAUACAGCGCCGUCAUCUUCUCCAUGCGUCUUCUUCCUCCUCUACC